UACGUAGGGAGCAAGCGUUGUUCGGAUUUACUGGGCGUAAAGGGCGCGUAGGCGGCGCGGUAAGUCACUUGUGAAAUCUCUGAGCUUAACUCAGAACGGCCAAGUGAUACUGCAGUGCUAGAGUGCAGAAGGGGCAAUCGGAAUUCUUGGUGUAGCGGUGAAAUGCGUAGAUAUCAAGAGGAACACCUGAGGUGAAGACGGGUUGCUGGGCUGACACUGACGCUGAGGCGCGAAAGCCAGGGGAGCAAAC
rnacentral:rRNA from 1 species